UCUCGUGGGCUCGGAGAUGUGUAUAAGAGACAGGUUUAAAGGAUAUCUUGGUAUAUUGUUAAAAAGACGGUGAAUCGUAAGGAUAUAAGUAUUUCAAAAUUUUUAUAUCAUUCUUUUAUUUUAAAGAAUUUUAAAAUUAAAAUCUUAAUAACUUUGUGAAUUGAAACAUCUAAUUAACAAAAGGAAAAGAAAUCAAGCGAGAUAUUAAUAGUAGUGUGAGCGAACUUAAUAAAGGUUAUUUUUGUUUAAAUCUAAUUUUUAUAAUCAAUUUAACGAAUUUAAGUUUUUGAAACUUAAUCUAAAGAAGGUAAAGAGUCCUGUAGUUAAAUUUUGAAAAUUAGAUUUUAAAGUAAAGCAAAUUGAAGAACUUGUUUGAAUAAAGGAAGACCAUUUUCUAAACCUAAAUAUAACAAUAUACCAAUAGUGAAAAGUACCGUGAGGGAACGAUGAAAAGAACCUUAAAAUUUAUAUGGAGUGAAAUAGAUCUUCAAAUUAAACACAUAAGAGCUAUUGAAGUAACUUUAUGUUAUACCAAUGUACCUUUUGUAUAAUGGGUCGACGAGUUAAUUUAUUUAAUAAAUUUAGAUCUAGUAAGAUUGUGAUGUGUAGCGAAAGCGAGUUUGAAAUAAAGCGUGAAUUAAAUAAAUUAUUACCCGAAACUGGAUGAUCUAAUCAUGUACAGGAGAUUUUUUAAAACUAAUUAAAGUAUAUAAUUUAUUAUAAUUUUAAAAGGUUGGAUGAAAAUAGACCGCACCCGUGUAUGUUGCAAAAUACUGGGAUGAUAUGUGAUUAGGGGUGAAAGGCUAAUCAAAUUCAGAAAUAGCUGGUUUUCUGCGAAAAUUAUUUAAGUAAUGCAUUAAAAUUUUAUAGUAUGGGGUAGAGCACUUGCUGGAUGAGGGGGAAUUCUUGGUAAUUCUACUGAUUCCAAUUAAACUUCGAAUACGUAUUUAUAAAUAAUUUUAAUAGGCAGAUUUUGAGUGCUAAGAUUCAAGAUCAAGAGGGAAAAAGCCCUGAUUUUUAGUUAAGGUUUUUAAAUAUAAUUCAUGGACUAAGUUUAAAUUUGUAAUGAGAACCAAGAGGUAGGCUUAGAAGCAGCCAUCCUUUAAAGAAAGCGUCAUUGCUCAAUGGAAUAGCAUAAUUUAGACAGAAAUGUAUAGAAACUGUAGUUAUAUACCGAAACUAAAAAAUAUUGUAAUAUUGGUAGCAGAACGAUUAAUAUUAAAUUGAAAGAAAAAUUGUUAAAUUUUUUAGCAAAUUUAAUUUGAGAAUGUUGACAUGAGUAACGAAUUAAUAAUGAAAAAAAAAGAAACUAUCAUUAUCAUCGCAAAUUCUAGGUUUUCAAUGUAUAAAGUUUGACUUCGUUGAGUUAUACGGUCUCUAAGUUUAAAAUUGAAAAAUUUUAACGAUGAGUUAUUUGUUAAUAUUCAAAUUUAUUAAUUAAGUGAAAAUAAUAUGUGUAAUAAAUAUUUAUUUUUAUGGUAAAGUAACUAUAAUAACAUAUUAUUCGAGAAAUAUUUAAUUAAAUGUAACCGUACUUAAACCGACACAGGUGAAUUGGUAGAGUAUACUAAGAUGAUUGGAAGAACAAUUUUGAAGGAACUCGGCAAAUUGAUUCCGUAACUUCGGGAGAAGGAAUACUCAUAUUAGAAAUUUAAUGUUAAAAAUAAUUAAAAUAUGAAUGUUUAGUGUAACAGAAUAGGGGUAGCGACUGUUUAAUAAAAACACAGGACUUUGCAAAAUAUUAUUAUGAUGUAUAAGGUCUGACGCCUGCCCAGUGAUGAGUAAUGAAAAAAAGAGGUGUUUAAUUAUGCUUUGAUUAUAAGUCUCAUUAAACGGCGGCUGUAACCCUGACGGUCCUAAGGUAGCGAAAUUCCUUGUCAAUUAAUUGUUGACCCGCAUGAAUGGCGUAACGACUUCCCCACUGUCUCCAAAAUUGAUCCAGUGAAAUUGCAUUUUACGUGAAGAUGCGUAAUAUUUAUAGCGGGACGGAAAGACCCUGUGCACCUUUACUAUAACUUUACAUUGAAAAAAAUAAGCUUAUAUAAAGAAUAGUUCUGAGUCUAUGAUCUAUUAAUUCCGGUUUUUAAGGGAGACGUCAGUGAGAUAUGAAUUAUAAGAAUAUUGAUUUCUAAUUUUUGAGAAAGACAAUGUAUGGUGGGUAGUUUAGCUGGGGCGGUUUCCUCCUAAAGAGUAACAGAGAGUACAAAGGUAAUUUCAAUCUAAUUUCUAUUAGAAAAAUGAGUGUAAUGGCAUAAAAUUGCUUAACUGUUAGAUUUACAUAUCAAACAGAGACAUUAUGUCGUCAUAGUGAUCCGGUGAUACUGAAUGGAAAGGUCAUCGAUUAACGGAUAAAAGGUACGCCAGGGAUAACAGGCUAAUUGUCCUUGAGAGCCAUAUCGACGGGAUAGUUUGGCACCUCGAUGUCGACUUAUCACAUCCUGGUGUAGUAGGGGAUACCAAGGGUUCGGCUGUUCGCCGAUUAAAGUGGUACGUGAGCUGGGUUUAGAACGUCGUGAGACAGUUCGGUCCCUAUCUGCCGUGGGUGUAGGAUACUUGAGAAGAGUUGCCCCUAGUACGAGAGGACCGGGGUGAACGAUCCACUGGUGGAUCUGUUGUUGCGCCAGCAGCAGUGCAGAGUCUGUCUCUUAUACACAUCUGACGCUGCCGACGAAUAGAGA
rnacentral:rRNA from 1 species